rnacentral:rRNA from 1 species
CCUACGGGUGGCAGCAGUAGGGAAUAUUGCUCAAUGGGCGAAACCCUGAAGCAGCAACGCCGCGUGGAGGAUGAAGGUUCUAGGAUUGUAAACUUCCUUUUUGAGAGAAGAUAAUGACGGUAUCUCACGAAUAAGCACUGGCUAACUCCGAGCCAGCAGCCGUGGCAACAAGGCGGCUGCAACCGUUACUCGGAAUCACUGGGCGUAAAGAGUGCGCAGGCGGGCUUGUAAGUCAGGUGUGAAAUCCUGUAGUUUAACUACAGAACUGCAUUUGAAACUGUGAGUCUAGAGUGUGGGAGAGGUAGGUGGAAUUCUUGGUGUAGGGGUAAAAUGCGUAGAUAUCAAGAGGAAUACUCAUUGCGAAGGCAGCCUACUGGAACAUUACUGACGCUGAUGCACGAAAGCGUGGGGAGCAAACAGGAUUAGAUACCCCAGUAGUC